ACUAAUGUACUGGUUUUAAUGUUGCCAUCUACGAUAGACUGAAUGUGUCCCCCAGUUCAUGUAUUGAAACCUUCCCUACCCCUGUGUGAUGGAAGCAGGAAGUGGCUCCUUUGGGUGGGGUGAUUAGGUCCUAAAGGUCGAGUCUCAGGGAAGGACACAGCAAGAGGACAGCCAGCCAUCUGCAGCCACUAAUACUGCAAGGCCCCGCCUUCAUGACCUCAUCCAUCCUUAAUCAUUCCAAGGCCUGUGUCAGUAUCCUGUUAUCAGACAAAUUGGGAAUUAAAUUUUCCUCACAGGAAGUUUGGGGGCACGCUCCCACCACACAGAUGCCCACAGCAGCCCUGUGGCUGGCUGCUUUCCUCCUCCUUACCCUGAAUUACUCAUUUCCCUGCAGCCUCUGGAGAUCUUGCCCCCCCCCCCGCCAUGUGUCUGGAAGCUGGUGUCCAUUAGAGGUGGCCUACCCUGUCCCUAGGCCAUUGACCAGCCCCUCAUCACAGCCCUGCUCUGGGGUCCCCAUCUUGUACCUGGCCUGGCCACCUCACCACUUCUUCCCAUGGUCCUCUCUUAUCUUCUGGAACAUCGGGAUGUGGCCAUGGAACUCCUGGAUCCAGAUGUUACUGUGUUCCCAGAAUCCUCAUGGUUCCCUACUCAGCACAAUUAAAACCAGGGGAAACUGCUGGCUCCUUUGGAUCAGAGCAGUGUUCUCAGGGACAGAGGACACUCAUGGGAAUUGUCCAGGGACCUCUGGGAUUCAUCCCAGCACAGACACCAGCUGAAGCCUCCCCCCUGCAAAAAAAGCCAUGUGGUUCCUAUCAUACCUCUGUUCUAGACUGAGCUGGGCUAACCCUGCUGACCCAGGACUAUAGCAAAGGCCAAAGCCGAGAACACAGUGCUGUCAUAAGCUGAAGUUUGAACUUGGACAGCUGCCUAUGUACCAUCAGCUGCCACACUUGAAGGGGUUCCUUAGGCAGUGCCGUCUGGCCAGAACCAGAGUGUCACUGAACCUAGCUGAGUCUUUGCCAAACUUGCUUUAUUUUUCUCUGAGACAAAAGGCAAUACCUUUCCCAGUCUCCUUUGCAACUAGGUGUGGCCAAAGGACUGGAUUCUGGCUGAUGGAAUGGGAAGGGGCAGCUUCUAUGUUCUUUGCCCUCCUCCAGGCUGAUUAAUGCCAAGGGCCAAGGUGACCUUGUUGACCUCAGAGUGAAGGUAGCAGGGUGGUACGCAAGGGGGCAGUGUCCUUGAGUCCCUGAUGGGAGACCUGAUGGUACCCAAGACACCACUAGGAUCCUCCUGAGGCCAAAGCAGUCCUGGGCUGGGUCUGAGGGCACACAGGUCUUCCCAGAGCUGCAUUGCUUCAGAUGCUGUCUGCCCAUGGGGGGUGCCAUUUUCUCCUUAAGGGAAAAAGCCAGGGAGGACUUUGAGAACCCCCAAAGAGAGGGAAGGGGCCUGUGAAGAAGGGACAAGGGUAUCUUGGUCCCUCCCUGGGUCGCUAUUUAGCCAGUGGACUCGCCCUCGGCCUUCUUCUGAGCUUCCCCCAGCACAUGCCCUGGUUAGGAAACUGAGUCAUGAGAGGACUUUCCAGGCUCUCCAUGCUCCUGGGGUCCCAGAGAGCUCCAGCCACAGGCCCUAGGUUGAGUUAGGGCCAAACAUUCUUUAGAAAUAAACAAGGUUUAGUUUUAAACGCCAGCAGGCUGUUCUAAAGAUAAAAAUGACAACAGCACCUUGUAAUCCGGCCAAGAUGUCAGAAGGGACCUCCUACCUAGCGGGAAGGGGGUUCAGCAGAUUCUACUUGGAUGGAGGCUUGGAAGAAACAACAUUUUUAUAAUUGUAAUUUAUACUCCCAACACGCUGAGAUUCCCCAGUAAACCAGUUAUACAUAAUUCACUUAGAUUAUGGAAAGUAAAAACCAAAACAAAGCUAUGAGGUUGCUAAAUAGGAGAAGCAGUGAAAAUGCUGUAUUCCCAGGCUGAAGGAGCUCUGGAGGCAGGAAAGCAACAGGUCAGAGCUGCCUGUUUUGGUUUCUGGAGAAAAACAGCCUUGCACCUGCCAGAUCCCAGGCAGCAUUCAGGAAGCCAAAGGUGCAAGGUGUCUUGAGGAGCAGGACCAGACUUUGUCUCCUGGAAAUUCCUGGCCAAGAAGGGACAAGUCACAUGUCAGUCUCAAACUUUGAUCAUGCCCUUAGAGGAAAAGAUAUUAGUAAAACCUGUAUUUAGCCUUAAAAUCAAUAAUGUCUUAGACUCAAAGAAAUAGCUUUUGCAGUUUGGGGAUAUACUUAAUGUACAAUUUUAUAUCCUUUACGAAAUUGAUUUAAUAUGAUGCACAUUUUACCAUGUUGUUAAGACAUUUAAUGAUUUCACAAUAUUUUGUUACAUGGAGAUAUAUAACUUCUAUUGCUGUUCUUCCCAUCGUUCUUGCUCCUUUCUGAAGCAGUGCUGGAGUCCUCUUUCAUGAGUGUCUUUACAAGAUAUGAGAAAUACUAUGAUAAAUGCUGCUGCUGAGUGUCGUCCCAUGGAAAGGCAGGUUCCUGGAAACAUGAUGCUGUGUCCUCAUCCACCUUACUCACUGGAUUUGGCUUACUCAUUGGAUGUCUCCUAGCUUUUGCCUGAAGUCAAAAUGACCAUGAAAGGUCCUGAGUUCAAUCUGCAGAUGCAGAGAUGGAGCAGUGGAGCCUCGAUCCCCGGACGGAGAGAUGGAGCAGUGGAGUUAUGCCUAGUUGGGAGAGAGGGAGAGGGAGAGAGGGAGAGGGAGAGAGGGCUGUCUGGGUAGAACCAGCAUGACCUGGAAGAAACAGAAGGAAGAAGGGAAACCCACAUGCUCAGAGGAGGUGGAUGAGGGGCCCAAGAGCAGAGAGGUCCUGAGCUCUGUGACCUGGCAGAGCUCCAGAAGAGUCUGAUGUAAAGGGGUCUGGAGUUGGGGUCCUCCAGCUAAUGUGGGCUGCAUGACUCAGACCAUGUUCCAGGGAAGGUAAGGAAACAGCUGGGCAGAGGAUUUAAAGAAGAUGGGCUGCUGGAUGUGGUGGUGCACACCUAUAAGCCCAGCCCUCCGGGAGGCUGAGGCAGGGAGAUUGCUAGUGCCAGCCCAGCCUGGGCAACUUAGUGCCUUCGCAAGGUCUUUACUUGGGCAGUUUACCAAGUUAACCAAACACUGUCUCAAAAACUUAAAAAUGGCCCAGGGAUAUAGAUUCGUGUAAAGGCACUAGGUUCAAUCCCCAAUACAAAAAAAAAAAAAAAA